UUUUUCAUAGAGUUUAGAGUUAAGAAAAAUCAUGAGAAAAACUAGUGAAAUAAAGAGAAAGAAUGAUAUACCUCAAGAAGGAAGUAAGCUAGCAAAGAACUAAUGGAAAGCAAGCUUGAUCUUCAAUGAAAAUGGUGGAAAGGAAAAAUUUAUGAAGAUGGGGUUUAAGAGAGGAGAAGCCACGGCAAAGAGAAGAAGAAAGGAGAAAGAAAUGUGAUCCUUUGAUUUUGGCUAAGUACAAAAAGCAAUGUGACUUUCCUUCACAAGUAAAGCCUAGGCAUUCCCUAGCUAUUGGAUCAAAAGCACUUUCUCUAGAUCAAAUCCUAGCCCUUGGAUCAAAUACUUGGCCAACUGGCAAUCUAAAAUAAAUAUCUAGAUAUUUUCCUUCUCACGCCCCACAGCUCUCGCGCGCCGCGACGAGCAAAACUCGUAAAAACAGAAAACUUACGGAACGGAAGUCCGUCUCAAAAUAAUUCCAAAACUUAUCGCCGAAUCUUUUUCCGCGACUGUAAUUUUCCUCCACACUCUCGAAAAUUAU
rnacentral:lncRNA from 1 species